UACGUAGGGCGCAAGCGUUGUCCGGAAUUAUUGGGCGUAAAGAGCUCGUAGGCGGCUUGUCACGUCGGGUGUGAAAGCCCGGGGCUUAACCCCGGGCCUGCAGCCGAUACGGGCAGACUAGAGUUCGGCAGGGGAGACUGGAAUUCCUGGUGUAGCGGUGAAAUGCGCAGAUAUCAGGAGGAACACCGGUGGCGAAGGCGGGUCUCUGGGCCGAAACUGACGCUGAGGAGCGAAAGCGUGGGGAGCAAACAGG
rnacentral:rRNA from 1 species